CUGGCACUAACCAGAGCAAAAACAUAGUCUGUGAUGAUAGCCAGGAUCAUGUGAAGAGAUUCUAAUUUUAAAGACAAAAUUGAAUGAAUUCGGAAACCAAAAAGCUUGUUGAGUCCAGAUCUUCCAAUCCCUUGAGCGCCAGCGACGUGUCAGACUCGGUACACGUGUCCUCUCACUGAAACAGGACAAGAGCAGUCCUCUUCCAGGUGAGCAAGCAGGGACAUGCAGCUACUGAGCCCUAGAACCGGGGCACAGCACAGGCAUUCUUAGCCUCAUUUUGCUGCUUUUAAGCACUUAAAAGAGGGGCAGGAUGAACAUAAAGUAGC
rnacentral:lncRNA from 12 species